rnacentral:tRNA from 1 species
AGAAAGAAAAUGGCAUAAAGUAGGGCUGCUAACUUUGCUUUGGGGGGUUCGACUCCUUCCUCUUUCUU